UCUGAUUGGCUUGCAGGUCAUUCUACAGUGUAAAUUAUAAACGAAAACGUGCUUUUAUAUCAGUGUUACAGAUUCACAAUACCGAGCGUGUCUCAACCCGUACCGCGCUUUUAUCUGCCUAAAGGUAUCUUCACGCAUGACUGGAUAGGCCUUUUGGAUACGCUUGUCCAAGGCCCAAGACAUAAAGUCGCCUGAAAGCUGUGUAGCAAUCAUUCCAUUGCUGACCCAUAGGAUGGUAAUCACAUACAUGAUUGGCUUAAUCUAGAAUCAUGGAUACCUUUCAUACCUUCUCAUCACAAGUUGGAACUAGUGGUCAACAUUGGGACAAUGCAGCCAUAAAUAACAUGGACCAAUAUUGUCAUGGAGUGAGCAAGACCUGCCAGCAGAGCUCACUGGAGCAGGGAGACAUCCCGUCAUCCUUUUGGCACCUGACAAAGUACACUUUUUUYCUUCUAAAUAACACUAUAGUAACAUCUUCUGCACAAAGUUACAUUCCUAAUAAGAU